UGGGGAAUUUUGGACAAUGGGCGAAAGCCUGAUCCAGCAAUGCCGCGUGUGUGAAGAAGGCCUUCGGGUUGUAAAGCACUUUUGUCCGGAAAGAAAUCCUUGGCUCUAAUACAGUCGGGGGAUGACGGUACCGGAAGAAUAAGCACCGGCUAACUACGUGCCAGCAGCCGCGGUAAUACGUAGGGUGCAAGCGUUAAUCGGAAUUACUGGGCGUAAAGCGUGCGCAGGCGGUUUGCUAAGACCGAUGUGAAAUCCCCGGGCUCAACCUGGGAACUGCAUUGGUGACUGGCAGGCUAGAGUAUGGCAGAGGGGGGUAGAAUUCCACGUGUAGCAGUGAAAUGCGUAGAGAUGUGGAGGAAUACCGAUGGCGAAGGCAGCCCCCUGGGCCAAUACUGACGCUCAUGCACGAAAGCGUGGGGAGCAAACAGGAUUAGAUACCCUGGUAGUCCACGCCCUAAACGAUGUCAACUAGUUGUUGGGGAUUCAUUUCCUUAGUAACGUAGCUAACGCGUGAAGUUGACCACCUGGGGAGUACGGUCGCAAGAUUAAAACUCAAAUGAAUUGACGGGGUCAUAGCUGUUUCCU
rnacentral:rRNA from 1 species